UAGCUAUAUAUCAUUAUUUCCUUUCCCAUUUGCUGACGAGCUUCCAUGGCCUACUUCACUUGACACUGCAAUGCGACAACAAAAACAAAUGCAUUCAUCAGUUGAGCUUGGGUCAUUAAUUGUCCUUUGCCUUAAUUCUGUGAAAUUUAAUUUUAAAUUUGAGUGGUUAAAAUGUAGGAAGAACCUUUUGCAGUUAGUGCUGGGGCUGAUCUUGAAAGGGCUGUGCACCCCACACAUGCCUGGGAGUUUGUUCGUAAGGUCAUAGUUGAUGCCAGAAAUGCUGGCAGCUAAUGCUUUGACGCAGUUGCAAGCUGAUUGGCGCUCUGGAGUUGAUUGGGCAGCCUCGUUGAGAGAUCUGAUCCCAUUGCAGCAAGAUGCAGGCACGCCACCAGCACCGUUGUUUCUCACGUAAGGAAUGCAGGGUGCCAAGGCUGAUAUGGCUUGGCCACAACUUAUGGCCCCUUCAGCCAGGGGUGCACCCACAACCAAGCACAAGACCACACCACAUGCAAGCUUGAGGGCCACAGUGCUGGCCAUAUGAUUCACUAAUUAGAAGAAAUCAAACAAUUUUAUAUAACUUGUAAGGAAAAUUGAUU
rnacentral:lncRNA from 1 species